rnacentral:snRNA from 1 species
UUGCUUGGGCAGUACAUACACUAAAAUGAGAACAACAGAGAGGCAAUUAGCAUGGCCCCGAGCAAGAAUGAUGUGCAAAUUCAUGAGAUAUUCUAUAUUUUU